CUCAGGGUCACUACGUGUCUCUGGCUUGCAACAAACAUGGGAGCAGAGUCCUGGACGCCAUCUGGAGCCGGGCCACCCUGCCGGCCAAGAGACAAAUUGCCCAGGAACUGGCCGAGCAGGAGCAGCAGCUGCGCAAUGACCCCUUUGGGCACCAUUUGGUGCGGAACUUCGCCCUGACCCAUUUCGUGAACCGCCGGCGAGACUGGGACCGGCACCAAGAGGCGGAGACCAAACGCAGGGAGCUGUUCGCUGAGAUUCUGGAGGAUUGAAUACUGGGGGGCAGCGAUGGGAUUGCUAGCCCCUUCUGGCACCAGGAGAGACUCUUCUUCCAACCAUAGAGAUCCUGGAGGACUGAAUGCCAGAGCGGGUGCUGCUCACAUCUGCUUCUACCCAUAGAGAUUGUGGAAGACUGAAUAUCAUCAGAGUGGGUGCUAUGGAGUUUUUAUGGCCCUCUUGGCUCCUAACCAUAGAGACUAUAGAGGACUGAAUACCAGGAGUGCUGUGUGGUGGUCUUAUGCUCUCAUCCGCUUCUGACCAGAGAGCCUGGAGGACUGAAUACCAGAGCGGAUGCUGUGGAGUCUUUAUGUCCCUGUUGGCGCCUAAGCAUAGAGAUGUUGGAGGACUGACUACGGGUGGUGUCUGUGUUGGGGUCCUUACCCCUACCCACUAUCUGUUCUGAACCCUAGAGAUCCUGGCGGACUCACCCCCACUAGGGGCCGCUCUGGACUUCCUUUCUCCCUCUUGUCUGCUCCCAACUGCACAGAGGCGGUUACAAUCCUGAUUUUCUAUAAAGGUUUCUAUUUCCCUA